rnacentral:lncRNA from 1 species
ACAUGGAUGCGAUGCAGAGGUCCGACUCUUGCUUGAAGCCAUGAAAUCUGAAAUGGAGUCUGUUGGAUAUAAGAUAACCCUAGCCGAAGUUCGUAAAAGGCCGACCCUUCCAGGACUCUUCCGGCUUCCGACCUUGUGCGGCAUCUUUCUGAACUCCCCCGACCGUCCGAGCUUCCAUAAUACCAUCCAGACUUCUCCGACAAUGAGCUCCUCCAUUCAUCUACCGGACUGCUCCAAAUACUCUCUGAUCUUCACUAUCAGCCAAUUUUCUACAAGGAUUGACUAUUCUCCAAAUCUCUUCCAGACUUCUUCCGGCCACGAACGACUUUACUUCGAACUUCUUUCGGAUCUCGUCAAUGACCGAGCUUCUCCAGCAGCGGAACUUCUACAAUAAGAAGUCUCCAUCUGAGCUUCCACGACAACUGAUCUUCGAUCGAGCUUCUACAAAAGCGACCUCCUUUCGGACUCCUACGAGAGCUGGAUUCCGUCCGAACUUCUACAGCAGAACCGUAUCCCAGACUCCAACGUUCGACCUUCCACAGUGUCCUCAAGACUCCUCCAGUGGACGAACCUCCACAAUGCCAUCCGAACUCCACUGUCGGUCGAUCCUUUGUCAGAUUCCUCAUGAAACUGGACUUCUCCAAUAGAAAGUCCCCGUUCGAGCUUCUAUAGCAGAUGACUUUCGCCUGCAGCAUCAGCACUCAAGGCACCCAACAACAGUGGACUCAUCAGCAACCUCGAAACAUCCGAGCCUCUCUUAGAUUGCAGAGACAGAGAGCCAUUCCGCUCCAUCAGACGUCCCAGCCGAGCUUCAACCGUCAGGCCCGAACUCUCUGGCAAGUUACGACAAUGGCCACUACCCCACUCCACUCUCUGUAACAGAUUCCACAUGGCCCCACC